GGGCCGCUAGCUCAUCUGGUAGAGCACCACCCUUUUAAGGUGGCCGUGGUAGGUUCGAGUCCUACGCGGCUCA
rnacentral:tRNA from 1 species